rnacentral:lncRNA from 1 species
AUGUUUUGUUGUCCCUGAGACCCUUAACCUGUGAUUACUUCAAGAUCACAGGUGAGGUCCUUGGGAACAAGGCUGCAUGCAAGUUCAUCAGAAUUUGGGUGAAUAAAAAAAACUAUUAGGUAGAAUGAUGUAAUCGGGAUCAAGAAGAUGUCAUCGGAUGAACUGUCAAGAAAAUAUGGAAAUAUCACCACCUAAAGCAUCCGUUACCCUACUGGAAAUUUGACAAAAAAAUAAACACAUUCUGUUUGCAAUUCUAACAUGUUCCAUUUCAUGUGAAAUUACUUGAUUACCUGUUUCCUAUGCAUUUGUAAUGUGUUUUGGAACUACAAAGGCACUCCAAACAACCUUUAAGGUGUUUAUGAAAUAAUUUUUUAUGUUACAAUUUGAUUUGUGUUACAAUAAAUUGUAUUAUUGUGAAAUGAAUGUAUAUUCAUACGUUUUUAGCAUGUACAAUUCUGGUAGGGGACCCUCACAAAAGUGUCUUUAAAAGAAUAAUAAUAUUAUUAUUAUUAUUAUUAGCAAAUGUUAAGGCUAAACUCCAAUGUAUUGAUAAAGGAAAUACACAUUUUCUUGGAAAAAAUGUAUAACGGAUGACAUUGACAUUGUAAAUAAGGACACUAAAAUUAUGUCACACAAGCAAUUAACAAAGGUGUAUGGAGUAUAACGAACUCAUGUAUGGAGUAUAACGAACUCAUCGCAGCUCGGCCACGAAAAUGGAAGAGGCAAUUACUCAAAAGAGAAAGGAAUGAAUGGGUUUGUCUGCCUCCAAUGAAAAACCAUGCAUGCCUUAAAAUGACUAGUAUAAAUCGUAAAAUGUAUCAGUUUCACUUAAGGUUGAGAGGUUUGAUAACUACGCCGCAUAUAAUUCUAGAUAGUUGGGAACAGAUUUUUUAAUCUCCCAAUACCAUGGCAUCGGGUUUAUGAACUGAUUUACAAAUGUACAAAACAUGAGUAACACCUUCCUAAUAUUAAGUUGCUCAAAUUGUUUGGGUACAGACAUGGAUAGUAAGACAGAACUCUGCAGGCUAUCUCUGCAGUAGAUUGCAACACCGCCCCCUUUGGCAGUUCUACCUUGUCGGAAAAUGUUAUAGUUAGGGAUGGAAAUUUCAGGGGUUUUGGUGGUCUUCCUAAGCCAGGAUUCAGACACGGCUAGGGCAUCCAGGUUGGCAGAGUCUGCUAAAGCAGUGAAUAAAACAAACUUAGGGAGGAGGCUUCUAAUGUUAACAUGCAUGAAACCAAGGCUUUUACGGUUACAGAAGUCAACAAAUGAGAGCACCUGGGGAGUAGGAGUGGAGCUAGGCAUUGCAGGGCAUGGAUUAACCUCUACAUCACCAGAGGAUCAGAGGAGGAGUAGUAUAAGGGUACGGCUAAAGGCUAUCAGAACUGGUCGUCUAGUGCGUUCAAAACAGAGAGUAAAAGGAGCAGGUUUCUGGGCGCGAUAGAAUAGAUUCAAGGCAUAAUGUACAGACAAAGGUAUGGUAGGAUGUGAGUACAUUGGAGGUCGAUAGACCAGUCAUGAUGGAUUAGUAGGGUUCCGAGUAGCAGAGGGGUCCAAGUCCAAUUGGCAAAAUAGGUAUAGUGGCCCAAGAAAUUGGCCGAUAGAUCUAUUCAGCUAACAGUCCAAUAUGCUCUAGACAGCUAGCGGGCCAGUGCUAGCAGCUAGCGGGCCGCGGCUAGCAGGCUAGCAAAUGGGCAUUCAGGGGACGUCGCGACGUAGGGGCCAGUUGAGUACCCCCUCGAGCAGAUUACGUCAUUAGUCCAGUCGUGAAGGGCAUCAUGGGAAAAUCAAAAGAAAUCAGCCAAGACCUCAGAAAAAAAAUUGUAGACCUCCACAAUUCUGGUUCAUCCUUGGGAGCAAUUUUCAAAUGCCUGAAGGUACCACGUUCAUCUGUACAAACAAUAGUACGCAAGUAUAAACACCAUGGGACCACGCAGACGUAAUACCGCUCAGGAAGGAGACGCGUUCUGUCUCCUAGAGAUGAAUGUACUUUGGUGUGAAAAGUGCAAAUCAAUCACAGAACAACAGCAAAGGACCUUGUGAAGAUGCUGGAGGAAACAGAUACAAAAGUAUCUAUAUCCACAGUAAAACGAGUCCUAUAUCGACAUAACCUGAAAGGCUGCUCAGCAAGGAAGAAGCCACUGCUCCAAAACCGCCAUAAAAAAAGACAGACUACGGUUUGCAAUUGCACAUGGGGACAAAGAUCGUACUUUUUGGAGAAAUGUCCUCUAGUCUGAUGAAACAAAAAUAGAACUGUUUGGCCAUAAUGAGCAUCGUUAUGUUUGGAGGAAAAAGGGGGAAGCUUGCAAGCUGAAAGUGUGUGCGAGCAAGGAGGCCUACAAAACCUGACUCAGUUACACCAGCUCUGUCAGGAGGAAUGGGCCAAAAUUCACCCUACUUAUUGUGGGAAGGUUGUGGAAGGCUACCCGAAACGUUUGACCCAAGUUAAACAAUUUAAAGGCAAUGCUACCAAAUACUAAUUGAGUGUAUGUAAACUUCUGACCCAUUGGGAAUGUGAUGUAAAAAAUAAAAGCUGAAACAAAUCAUUCUCUCUACCAUUAUUCUGACAUUUCACAUUGUUAAAAUAAAGUGGGGAUCCUAACUGACCUAAGACAGGGAAUUGUUACGAGGAUUAAACGUCAGGAAUUGUGAAAAACUGAGUUUAAAUGUAUUUGGCUAAGGGGUAUGUAAACUUCUGACUUCAACUGUACAGUAUAUAUUCAAUUUUAAUGUUUUCCACCAAGUUUUCUAAACAGGGGAGAAGGGGG